rnacentral:rRNA from 1 species
CUAGAUAUAUAUAAACAUGACAGUCAAUUUUUUCGAGAGUUUGAUCGCUGAGCUCAGGAUGAACGCUGGCUGUGUGCCUAAUACAUGCAUGUCGAGCGAUGAUAGCAAUAUCAUAGCGGCGAAUGGGUGAGUAACACGUACUCAACGUACCUUUUAGAUUGGGAUAGCGGAUGGAAACAUCCGAUAAUACCGAAUACUUAUUAUUUUUGCAUGAAAGUAAUAUAAAAGGAAGCGUUUGCUUCGCUAAAAGAUCGGAGUGCGCAACAUUAGCUAGUUGGUGAGGUAACGGCCCACCAAGGCGAUGAUGUUUAGCGGGGUUGAGAGAUUGAUCCGCCACACUGGGACUGAGAUACGGCCCAGACUCCUACGGGAGGCAAAGCAGUAGGGAAUAUUCCACAAUGGACGAAAGUCUGAUGGAGCGACACAGCGUGCAGGAUGAAGGCCCUAUGGGUUGUAAACUGCUGUGGUUAGGGAAGAAAAAGUAGCAUAGGAAAUGAUGCUACCUUGACGGUACCUGAUUAGAAAGCAACGGCUAACUAUGUGCCAGCACCGCGGUAAUACAUAGGUUGCAAGCGUUAUCCGAAAUUAUUGGGCGUAAAGCGUCUGUAGGUUGUUUGUUAAGUCUGGCGUUAAAUUUUGGGGCUCAACCCCAAAACGCGUUGGAUACUGGCAGACUAGAGUUAUGUAGAGGUUAGCGGAAUUCCUUGUGAAGCGGUGAAAUGCGUAGAUAUAAGGAAGAACAUCAAUAUGGCGAAGGCAGCCUAACUGGGCAUACACUGACACUGAGAGACGAAAGCGUGGGGAGCAAACAGGAUUAGAUACCCUGGUAGUCCACGCCCUAAACGAUGAUCAUUAGUUGAUGGGGAACUCAUCGACGCAGCCUAACGCAUUAAAUGAUCCGCCUGAGAUAGUACGUUCUGCAAGAAUAAAACUUAAAGGAAUUGACGGGGAUCCGCACAAGCGGUGGAGCAUGUGGUUUAAUUUGAUGUUACGCGUAGAACCUUACCCACUCUUGACAUCUUCUGCAAAGCCUAUAGAGACAUAGUGGAGGUUAACAGAAUGACAGAUGGUGCAUGGUUGUCGUCAGCUCGUGUCGUGAGAUGUUCGGUUAAGUCCUGCAACGAGCGCAACCCUUAUCCUUAGUUACUACCAUUUAGUUGAGCACUCUAAGGAGACUGCCCGAGUAAUCGGGAGGAAGGUGGGGACGACGUCAAAUCAUCAAUGCCUCUUACGAGUGGGGCUACACACGUGCUACAAUGGACGGUACAAAGAGAAGCGAAGUGGUGACAUGGAGCAAACCUCAAAAAACCGUUCUCAGUUCGGAUUGAAGUCUGCAACUCGACUUCAUGAAGUCGGAAUCGCUAGUAAUCGUAGAUCAGCCUACGCUACGGUGAAUACGUUCUCGGGUCUUGUACACACCGCCCGUCAAACCAUGGGAGCCUGGUAAUGCCCGAAGUCGGUUUAUAAAGAAACUGCCUAAGGCAGGACUGGUGACUGGGGUUAAGUCGUAACAAGGUAUCCCUACGAGAACGUGGGGAUGGAUUACCUCCUUUCUA